rnacentral:rRNA from 1 species
GACGAACGCUGGCGGCGUGCCUAAUACAUGCAAGUUGAGCGCUGAAGGUUGGUACUUGUACCGACUGGAUGAGCAGCGAACGGGUGAGUAACGCGUGGGGAAUCUGCCUUUGAGCGGGGGACAACAUUUGGAAACGAAUGCUAAUACCGCAUAAAAACUUUAAACACAAGUUUUAAGUUUGAAAGAUGCAAUUGCAUCACUCAAAGAUGAUCCCGCGUUGUAUUAGCUAGUUGGUGAGGUAAAGGCUCACCAAGGCGAUGAUACAUAGCCGACCUGAGAGGGUGAUCGGCCACAUUGGGACUGAGACACGGCCCAAACUCCUACGGGAGGCAGCAGUAGGGAAUCUUCGGCAAUGGACGAAAGUCUGACCGAGCAACGCCGCGGGAGUGAAGAAGGUUUUCGGAUCGUAAAACUCUGUUGGUAGAGAAGAACGUUGGUGAGAGUGGAAAGCUCAUCAAGUGACGGUAACUACACAGAAAGGGACGGCUAACUACGUG